rnacentral:rRNA from 1 species
GGUUAAGCGACUAAGCGUACACGGUGGAUGCCCUGGCAGUCAGAGGCGAUGAAGGACGUGCUAAUCUGCGAAAAGCGUCGGUAAGGUGAUAUGAACCGUUAUAACCGGCGAUGUCCGAAUGGGGAAACCCAGUGUGAUUCGUCACACUAUCGUUAACUGAAUACAUAGGUUAACGAGGCGAACCGGGGGAACUGAAACAUCUAAGUACCCCGAGGAAAAGAAAUCAACCGAGAUUCCCCCAGUAGCGGCGAGCGAACGGGGAGCAGCCCAGAGUCUGAAUCAGCUUGUGUGUUAGUGGAACGGUCUGGAAAGUCCGACGGUACAGGGUGAUAGUCCCGUACACCAAAAUGCACAGGUUGUGAACUCGAAGAGUAGGGCGGGACACGUGGUAUCCUGUCUGAAUAUGGGGGGACCAUCCUCCAAGGCUAAAUACUCCUGACUGACCGAUAGUGAACCAGUACCGUGAGGGAAAGGCGAAAAGAACCCCGGCGAGGGGAGUGAAAAAGAACCUGAAACCGUGUACGUACAAGCAGUGGGAGCACCUUCGGGUGUGACUGCGUACCUUUUGUAUAAUGGGUCAGCGACUUAUAUUCUGUAGCAAGGUUAACCGUAUAGGGGAGCCG